GCUUGCUUGGUGGAUCAGUGGCGAACGGGUGAGUAACACGUGAGCAACCUGCCCUGGACUCUGGGAUAAGCGCUGGAAACGGCGUCUAAUACUGGAUAUGAGACGUGAUCGCAUGGUCGUGUUUGGAAAGAUUUUUCGGUCUGGGAUGGGCUCGCGGCCUAUCAGCUUGUUGGUGAGGUAAUGGCUCACCAAGGCGUCGACGGGUAGCCGGCCUGAGAGGGUGACCGGCCACACUGGGACUGAGACACGGCCCAGACUCCUACGGGAGGCAGCAGUGGGGAAUAUUGCACAAUGGGCGAAAGCCUGAUGCAGCAACGCCGCGUGAGGGAUGACGGCCUUCGGGUUGUAAACCUCUUUUAGCAGGGAAGAAGCGAAAGUGACGGUACCUGCAGAAAAAGCGCCGGCUAACUACGUGCCAGCAGCCGCGGUAAUACGUAGGGCGCAAGCGUUAUCCGGAAUUAUUGGGCGUAAAGAGCUCGUAGGCGGUUUGUCGCGUCUGCUGUGAAAUCCCGAGGCUCAACCUCGGGCCUGCAGUGGGUACGGGCAGACUAGAGUGCGGUAGGGGAGAUUGGAAUUCCUGGUGUAGCGGUGGAAUGCGCAGAUAUCAGGAGGAACACCGAUGGCGAAGGCAGAUCUCUGGGCCGUAACUGACGCUGAGGAGCGAAAGGGUGGGGAGCAAACAGGCUUAGAUACCCUGGUAGUCCACCCCGUAAACGUUGGGAACUAGUUGUGGGGACCAUUCCACGGUUUCCGUGACGCAGCUAACGCAUUAAGUUCCCCGCCUGGGGAGUACGGCCGCAAGGCUAAAACUC
rnacentral:rRNA from 1 species